GUUACACAUUCUACCAGCUCAGGCUCUACCUGCACACUCUCGACUCUGCUGCCUCAGUUCCCUAGUACGGAGGUUACAGCAAAGAACAAGCCUAUCAGCGUUAUACAGCUAAUCGUGAAGAACGGAUGGUUCCACAGUGACGUGAGGAAGGACACCUGCAAAACAGAGUGGGAGAUACAGUCUCAGGACACCGAGCCCUACUCCCUACUGUACAGAAAUGUAUGAUGCUUUACCAUCUAAACGACAACCACCCUAGUUCUCUUUACUGUGCCGUGAAAACAAAACUCACACUUUAUCUUUUUAGUACAGUAAGAUAACGGCAAUACAUGUCAUUCGUGCCAAACCCUAAAUCAUUUCAAAUUCAUUCACACACAUGCGCACACGUGCACGUACACACACAC
rnacentral:lncRNA from 1 species